rnacentral:rRNA from 1 species
GUCGCGCGAGAAAAGGGGGCAACUCCUGAGUAAAGCGGCGCACGGGUGAGUAACACGUAGGUGACCUACCCUCGAGUCCAGAAUAACCCGCCGAAAGGUGGGCUAAUGCCGGAUAUGACCACGGGACCCUCGGUUCCUGCGGUGAAAGGUGGCCUCUGCUUGCAAGCUAUCGCUCAAGGAUGGGCCUGCGCGCCAUUAGCUAGUUGGUGAGGUAACGGCUCACCAAGGCAAUGAUGGCUAGCUGGUCUGAGAGGAUGACCAGCCACACUGGGACUGAAACACGGCCCAGACUCCUACGGGAGGCAGCAGUGGGGAUAUUGCGCAAUGGGCGAAAGCCUGACGCAGCGACGCCGCGUGGGUGAUGAAGGCCUUCGGGUCGUAAAGCCCUGUCGAGGGGAACGAAACGGCUCCGACCUAAUACGUCGGGGCCCUGACGGUACCCCUAAAGGAAGCACCGGCUAACUCCGUGCCAGCAGCCGCGGUAA